rnacentral:rRNA from 1 species
UACAGAGGGUGCAAGCGUUAAUCGGAAUUACUGGGCGUAAAGCGUGCGCAGACGGUUGCGUAAGUCAGAUGUGAAAGCCCCGGGCUCAACCUGGGAAUUGCAUUUGAGACUGCGUAGCUAGGGUGCGGAAGAGGGAAGCGGAAUUUCCGGUGUAGCGGUGAAAUGCGUAGGUAUCGGAAGGAACACCAGUGGCGAAAGCGGCUUCCUGGUCCAGCACCGACGUUCAGGCACGAAAGCGUGGGGAGCAAACAGG